UACAUGUGGGGCAAGCGUUGUUCGGAAUUACUGGGCGUAAAGGGCGCGUAGGCGGCCCGCUAAGUCGAACGUGAAAUCCCCAGGCUUAACCUGGGAACUGCAUCCGAUACUGGAUGGCUUGAAUCCGGGAGAGGGAUGCGGAAUUCCAGGUGUAGCGGUGAAAUGCGUAGAUAUCUGGAGGAACACCGGUGGCGAAGGCGGCAUCCUGGACCGGCAUUGACGCUGAGGAGCGAAAGCCAGGGGAGCAAACGGG
rnacentral:rRNA from 1 species